rnacentral:rRNA from 1 species
CGGGUGAGUAAUGCAUCGGAACGUGCCCAAUAGUGGGGGAUAGCCCGGCGAAAGCCGGAUUAAUACCGCAUACGACCUACGGGUGAAAGCAGGGGAUCGCAAGACCUUGCGCUUUUGGAGCGGCCGAUGUCAGAUUAGGUUGUUGGUGGGGUAAAGGCCUACCAAGCCGACGAUCUGUAGCUGGUCUGAGAGGACGACCAGCCACACUGGGACUGAGACACGGCCCAGACUCCUACGGGAGGCAGCAGUGGGGAAUUUUGGACAAUGGGCGCAAGCCUGAUCCAGCCAUGCCGCGUGCGGGAAGAAGGCCUUCGGGUUGUAAACCGCUUUUGUCAGGGAAGAAACGCUCCGGGCUAAUACCUCGGAGUA